CAGGUGGUCGCUCGGGACUGGCUGCGCAGAUCCGCCGCCACGAAAAUCGAUAAAGUGUUCCUUGGCGCCGCAAUAUAUGUCAAAGUUUGAGCCUUCUCCGGCGGGCGUGGGCGUUGUAUGUGUGAAACUGACAAAAGGUGUAAAUAGAGAACGUGAAAAUACUGUUACGAAAGAAAAGUGGACUUUGUGCUUCUAAGAAGCACUUGUAACUUGAUUUUUAUAACUGAAGAUAUUAAUAGAAUACCCGUUUAAUCCCAAGAGGACGACAAACUUCAUAAUAAGGGACCAAUCAAGGUUAGU
rnacentral:lncRNA from 1 species